rnacentral:rRNA from 1 species
GACGAACGCUGGCGGCGUGCUUAACACAUGCAAGUCGAACGGAAAGGCCCUGCUUGCAGGGUACUCGAGUGGCGAACGGGUGAGUAACACGUGGGUGAUCUGCCCUGCACUUCGGGAUAAGCCUGGGAAACUGGGUCUAAUACCGGAUAGGAGCCAUUUUUAGUGUGAUGGUUGGAAAGUUUUUUCGGUGUAGGAUGAGCUCGCGGCCUAUCAGCUUGUUGGUGGGGUAAUGGCCUACCAAGGCGGCGACGGGUAGCCGGCCUGAGAGGGUGGACGGCCACAUUGGGACUGAGGUACGGCCCAGACUCCUACGGGAGGAAGCAGUGGGGAAUAUUGCACAAUGGGCGCAAGCCUGAUGCAGCGACGCCGCGUGGGGGAUGACGGCCUUCGGGUUGUAAACUCCUUUCGCUAGGGACGAAGCUUUUUGUGACGGUACCUAGAUAAGAAGCACCGGCUAACUACGUG